ACUCAAAUGAACCGUGAAACGAACGCAUAGGAAGAAAUGGAGCUCUUUUCUCACUUUCUUCCUUUAUAAGAUUAAAUGAAGCUCUUAUUUAUCGUUUAGUGAACUGAAUUUGUGCAGAUGAAAAGAAACGUCCGUGCUUAGGGCACUCUUUAAGGUUGCCAGUGCAUUCUGGGAUGGAUGGAGCAGUAAGAGACGGAACUUUACUUCAACUUAAAGUUCCUGUGAUGUUUGUGCAGAAAAGCACCUUGAAACUUAAGGGAUCGACCCAAGAGGGAGCUGAAGAUGCAACUCUUGAAGCCAUUGCAAUAUAGCAUUCGUUUCGGAUCACCCGAAACAUCAAUCUGCCGGUAGACAAUAUAGAAUUCGUUCGUUCGAAUUAGCUUUGCAAGGUUGAAUGUUUUAUCAGAGUGAAAGAUUGCAGGCGUCAAUUAUCAACAAACAAAACCAUGACAUAUUCAUAAAACUAUUAUCUGUUUUGCCUUUUUAUUUGAUAGGUGAUAUGAUAAUUUGUAGGAUUACAUAGGAUUACAUGCCAUAUUUGACUGCUGUAGAGACUGCAGGUCAAUUUUAUUUAGUGUGUAGUAUGGCAACUCUAUGUGCCAGGUACAUCAUCUAUUGUGCUUCUUGUGCAGAAGGGUUUUCACCUUUAGUCGCUAUCGUUGUUGUCGUCUUUGCACUUCUUGUGAUUCUCCUUCUUCUCCUUGUUCUUCUCGGGCUUCUUUUCCUUUUCCUUUUCCUUCUUGUCUUUCUUUUCUUUCUUCUCCUUGUUGUCUUUCAUCUUCUUUUCCUUCUUUCCGUGGUCCAUACCAUGAGCCACAUGUUGCGGAGCACGUAUGCCGUGGCUCGGGGCCUUGGACUCGGCAUGCUGAGCAGCAUGGAUGCCGUGGUUCUGCUGGUUGUGAACAUGAUGUUAACUCACACUCUUACUCUCCUUAAGAACUUGGUUGUGGCCGCCGACCAGAUGAUAUCCAUGGCUCGUUUCGUCCGGCUUUUUCUCGACAGGACGCACACACUGUUCCGUAGCCAUAGCGAU